UGCGGGAUCGUCUAAUGGUAGGACAUGGGACUUUGGAUCCCAGUAUCAUGGUUCGAAUCCAUGUCCCGCAGCCA
rnacentral:tRNA from 3 species